rnacentral:lncRNA from 1 species
AUACGUUCUGUUUGUUUUCAAACAUUUCUUUUGAGCAAUAAGAAUCACACCAAUUUUCUGAUAACAUAAACACAUGAACAGCAGUUUUUUCUACGAUGACAACUAUCGAUUUCAAAACUUGAAUGUGUAUGAUUGUGUAAAAAAAACAACCAUGUCAAUUUCAGAAUGCAUGCUUAGUGAAUGUGGAGUCUGAAGCGUAGGACAACUCGUACACUCCUGUUUCAAAUGGGAC